AACGCACAUUGCGCCCCUCGGUAUUCCGUGGGGCAUGCCUGUUCGAGCGUCAUUUACACCCUCAAGCUCUGCUUGGUGUUGGGCGUCUGUCCCGCUUUACGCGUGGACUCGCCCCAAAGUCAUUGGCAGCGGUCGUGCCAGCUUCUCGCGCAGCACAUUUGCGUUUCUUGAAGUCUGGUGGAUCAGCAUCCAGUAAGCUCUUUCAUGACUUGACCUCGGAUCAGGUAGGGAUACCCGCUGAACUUAA
rnacentral:misc_RNA from 1 species